AACGAACGCUGGCGGCAGGCCUAACACAUGCAAGUCGAGCGCCCUUUCGGGGGAGCGGCGGACGGGUGAGUAACGCGUGGGAAUAUGCCCUUCUCUACUGAAUAUCAUCGGGAAACUGAGAGUAAUAUCGUAUACGCUCUGUGGGGGAAAGAUUUAUCGGGGAAGGAUUAGCCCGCGUUGGAUUAGGUAGUUGGUGGGGUAAUGGCCUACCAAGACGACGAUCCAUAGCUGGUUUGAGAGGAUGAUCAGCCACACUGGGACUGAGACACGGCCCAGACUCCUACGGGAGGCAGCAGUGGGGAAUCUUAGACAAUGGGGGCAAGCCUGAUCUAGCCAUGCCGCGUGAGUGAUGAAGGCCUUAGGGUUGUAAAGCUCUUUUAGCUGGGAAGAUAAUGACGGUACCGGCAGAAGAAGCUCCGGCUAACUCCGUG
rnacentral:rRNA from 1 species